CAACUCACUCACACUCACACCGCCUCUCAUCUCUCUCUCUAAAAGCCUCAUCACCGCCGAUCUCGCUCCCUCCGCCGUCCUCCUCUCCCUCCUCCUCCACUGUCCUCCUUUCCCUUCUCUCAUCACCGCCGAUUUCCCUCUUCCUCUGCUGUUUUUGGCGAGAGAGAACUGUGGUUAGGAUUUCUGAUCUCAGCCACAACAAGUACUCAGAUCUGCAAUGAGCGAGGCCAUAACAAGGCGUCGCUGCUGGUGAACAAGUUGAGUUCGAUGCCCUAGACAACAGAGGUCUCUAACCUCAAACCAGUCAUUCGUUCCAUUUCCAUCCCCCGUUAGGAAAUUCAACAUUGGAAUCAGUGGGCUAUACAUAUGAUGAUGAUGAGUUUGACUCGGAUGACUCAUGUGGCACUUUUGUGAAUUCAAGUUGAAGGAGACGAUGACAGUUGUGGUUAUAUCAAAUUUUUGGAGAAACAAUGUUGUUUUAUUGUUGUCAUAUUGAUGUUAUAUGUUUUAUUUGAACAACUAUUGUUUCAUGUUGUAAUAGACUAAUGGUACUAUUUUUAUUUUUUUUUGGUUUUUGGUUGGACAUUUGAUAUAUUAUGUUGCAUGGAUUAUUUUGAGGGAUUUAUUGGUUGUGGGUUGAGAGAUGAGAGUUCUAUAUUGUUUAAGUGUUUUUUUGGUUAUUUCUCCUA